UACGUAGGGUCCGAGCGUUGUCCGGAAUUAUUGGGCGUAAAGGGCUCGUAGGCGGUUUGUCGCGUCGGGAGUGAAACACGGGGCUUAACCCCGUGCCUGCUUCCGAUACGGGCAGACUAGAGGUAUGCAGGGGAGAACGGAAUUCCUGGUGUAGCGGUGAAAUGCGCAGAUAUCAAGAGGAACACCAGUGGCGAAGGCGAGUCCCUGGACAACUUCUGACGCUGAGGCACGAAAGCUAGGGGAGCAAACAGG
rnacentral:rRNA from 1 species